CUCAGAACCAAAUAAACACAAAACAAAGAGACCAGGAGGGAGGUGGACUGGUGGAGGCAGAACAGGGGGAGGGAUGGCGGGCCAGGCCCGUGUAGGGGAACUGGGACCGGCAGCGAUGGCUCCCCUGGUAGCCCAGGUGGCUUGGUCAGAUCAGGGGGCCAUGGUGGACCCGAAAGUUCAGGGGACCACGAGGGACCAGGCAGUUCAGGGGGCCACGGUGGACCCGAAAGUUCAGGGGACCACGAGGGACCAGGCAGUUCAGGUGGCCACGGUGGACCCGAAAGUUCAGGGGACCACGAGGGACCAGGCAGUUCAGGUGGCCACGGUGGAUCAGUCCAUUCUCGUUGUGCAGACGGCCAGGGAGGAAUUCGCCAUUUGAGUGGCCCGAACGGAACCUGCCAAUCGGGGAGCCAGUAAGGAGCAGGCUGUGGCGAUGGCCCGGUCACGGCAUUGGGAACGGCAUCAGGAACGACCUCAGACAAGGACACCGCCUCGGGAACGGCCUUGGACACGGGUAUCGCCUCCGGAGCCAUCUUGGGCCCCGCAUCGGCCUCCGGAACAGCAUCGGCCACCGCCUCUGGAAUGGCCUCAGGAACGGCCUCAGGAACGGCAUCGGACCAGGACACCGCCUCGGGAACGGUCUCAGGAACGGCCUCAGGAACGGCCUCAGGAACGGCCUCAGGAACGGCCUCAGGAACGGCAUUGGACAAGGCCCCCGCCUCGGGAACGGCCUCGGGCACGGCCUCGGGAACGGCCUUGGACAAGGGCACCGCCUCGGGAACGACCUCUGCAUCGGGCACCACCUCAGGAACGACCUCGGCCUGCGCAUCGGCCACCGCCUCGGGAACGAUCUCGGCCUGCGCAUCGGGCACCGCCUCGGUCUCUGGAAGCAACUCGGGCACCACCUCGGUCUCUGGAACAACAUCGGGCACCGCCUCGACCUGCGGAACGGCCUCGGGCACCGCCUCGACCUGCGGAACAGCAUCGGGCACCGCCUCGGCAUCGGGAACAACAUCGGGCACCGCCUCGACCUCCGGAACAGCCUCGGUCUCGG
ensembl:lncRNA